rnacentral:lncRNA from 1 species
NNNNNNNNNNNNNNNNNNNNNNNNNNNNNNNNNNNNNNNNNNNNNNNNNNNNNNNNNNNNNNNNNACACCCCCCCUGGAGGGUGAGAUCUCAGAGUGCCUGGCUGCCAGGGCAGGGAGGGAGGCUGAGCUCAGGCUUUUGCCUGCACCGAUUUGUUGCAUUCAAAAGCAUCUUGGUACCGAAAACCCAUGAGGUGAAGCUUUGCCCCACUCAGACUCAGCCGCAGCAGCAGCCCUCAGCCAUGCCGUGUGGACGUCACCAGUGAUGCCACAUGAUCCUGGCUGGGCUCGGCACCCACUGAUGCCCUGGCUGCUCCCAUCGCCCUCGCCACCCUGCCUCGACCUGCCCGGCACACCCCAAGGUGCUGUGGGAGAAAUCCUCUCCUCAUGGGUCCCUAAGGAGCACAUCCCGCCACCCCAGGGCCCUGCCUGCACUUCUCAGCUUGGGUGCAAGGACUGCUGGGGACAGCAGCCCCCCCAGCCCCCUCCCACGGGCUGCCAGCCCCCUCGGAGAUGCUCUGUGCUGGCACUGCCAUCCCUGCGCCGAGGAGCCACAGCACGGCCGGGGGUGGCAGGCAGCGUGCCAGCUUCACAGGGAGGGAUUUUACCUCCCCAACUCCAACUCUCCUUCUUCCCUUCAGUGAGGGACUCUGGGGAUGCUCCCCACCACCGUCCCCAUCCCCAUCCUGCCACCAAGGGCUUGGCUUGUGGCUACAACAGGUGCAGGCACAACGGCAGUGAUGGGGGGAAAACGGGCACCCCUUGGGCUGCAGGGAUGUGUCCAGGGGCCAGGCACAUGGAUGGCUGGCACAGGCACCAUCGGGCAAGGAAGGUGGGUGAGCAGACAGGGCAAGCUGUCCCUGUCCCUGGGGCCAUUCCCAGAGAGCGCUGCCUGGCAGAGACCUGCCACCACCUCCAAAGACAGGACACACUGACCCUCCCUUUCCCUGGGAGUACCAAAUCCCCACUCAGGCCCUCCCCACCAUGCACAGCCCGGGGUCAGGACGGGUCCCUCGGUGCCACCGUGGCAGCUCUGCCCCAGGCCCCUGAGCUCCCCACUCGGGGAGCCGCCUUUCUCUCUCUUUGCUGUGCCCUGAUAAGGGCCAGCUGGGCCAGCCCUUGCCAUGGUUCCUCUGCCCAGCGAGCCUUGCCACGCCAGCACCGCCUUGGCCACACCGUCCCCGCCACAGGCACCCCUGCAAGGGGAGCAACCGCCGGGUCCAAACAGGAUCAGGCUCCUGGCAUCCAUGCCCAGCCCUGCCAGGCUCAGGGGAAUAGAAAAGGGAGCUAUUCCCAACUGCUCCAAGAGCUCCGGGCAGGGCUCUGGGCUCUGGCAGCUGGGCUUUGUUCGGCAGUCUGCAAAGGCGUGCGCACACCCGCAGCGCUGAGAUCGCUCCCUGCCCUGGCACACAGGGAACUGUGGGCAUGAGGGGCCUGAACCACGGUCAGGGAGGGAACCGUGGGCAGGGCGAAGCUGCCCAGGGAAGGGAGAAAUCGGCAGAUACCUGGAAAAAGGGCGGCAGAUUUACUGCACGAGGCCCCAGACAAGUUCAAGGUGAUGAGGGGGAGAGCGGCACAGCGUG